AAUACAGACUUUUGAUGUCACAACCGAGUCAAUAUCUGGAGAACUCGCAUCUCUCCAGCUUAAUAGCGAAACUAAAACUACGACUGACUCACAACCGGAUGGGGCUGUAACGUUUCCCACGGCUCGACGCGAGGUGUUAACGAUUGCGAACACUAAUGCUGAAGGAAAUUAUGAAACCGAAAUUAUAAGAACUGAAACGAAUAUCCCCGUCCAUCCCAUGACUACAACCGUUGAGGUUA